rnacentral:rRNA from 1 species
GACGAACGCUGGCGGCGUGCUUAACACAUGCAAGUCGAACGAUGAUGCCAGCUUGCUGGUGGAUUAGUGGCGAACGGGUGAGUAACACGUGGGUGAUUUGCCCCAAACUUUGGGAUAAGCCUGGGAAACUGGGUUUAAUACCGGAUAGUACCUUCCCUUGCAUGGGGGUUGGUGGAAAGCUCCGGCGGUUUGGGAUGGGCCCGCGGCCUAUCAGCUUGUUGGUGGGGUAAUGGCCUACCAAGGCGACGACGGGUAGCCGGCCUGAGAGGGCGACCGGCCACACUGGGAAUGAGACACGGCCCAGACUCCUACGGGAGGCAGCAGUGGGGAAUAUUGCACAAUGGGCGCAAGCCUGAUGCAGCGACGCCGCGUGAGGGAUGACGGCCUUCGGGUUGUAAACCUCUUUCACCAGGGACGAAGCGUGAGUGACGGUACCUGGAGAAGAAGCACCGGCCAACUACGUG